rnacentral:hammerhead_ribozyme from 1 species
AUUCAGCUGACGAGUUCAAAAUAGGACGAAACGACCGUCACACUAGAU